CCGUGCAGCCGGGGAGUUAGCGGUGCCCUGUACCUGCAAUCCGCUAUAGCAGGGGUGAUGUUUUGUCUCGGGCAGUCUUUUGUGGGGCAGCCCGCAGUAAGUGAUGUUGACGCUUGGGUCUCACGCAACGGAGACUCGCGAACCGUGUCAGGGUAGGAAUACAGCAGCACUAAACGAUGUUCUUCGUGUGAUGUGAGGCAGCCUGGGCCGAGUUAACUGCUGUGGUAACGCUCAUUGGGACUGUUCAAAACAAGAUGCACGG
rnacentral:SRP_RNA from 1 species